rnacentral:misc_RNA from 1 species
CCCAUAAACCGUGGCUCAGUUCAGAUCGUAGGCUGCAACUCGCCUACGUGAAGGCGGAAUCGCUAGUAAUCGCAGGUCAGCAUACUGCGGUGAAUACGUUCCCGGGCCUUGUACACACCGCCCGUCACACCAUGGAAGUUGGCCACGCCCGAAGCCGUUACUCCAACCCUUGUGGAGGAGGACGUCGAAGGUGGGGCUGAUGACUGGGGUGAAGUCGUAACAAGGUAUCCGUACCGGAAGGUGCGGAUGGAUCACCUCCUAACAGGGAGACAACACAAUGAUUUUGAUGCCUGAGUACUUUUAUUCUUAGGCCGAAAUCCUGUCACCUUAGGUCGAUCGGUACCUCAGCUUUGAAGUCAAGGAUCAGCAGCAAUGUUGAUUGCUUGAUGGAGAUUUUCAGUUCCUAAACUUUGUCUAGGUCACACCCCAAAAGGGAUGAGACUCCUGGGCCAUUAGCUCAGGUGGUUAGAGCGCACCCCUGAUAAGGGUGAGGUCCCUGGUUCAAGUCCAGGAUGGCCCAUUCGGUGUUGGGGGUUUAGCUCAGUUGGUAGAGCGCCUGCUUUGCAAGCAGGAUGUCAGGAGUUCGAGUCUCCUAACCUCCACUGACCGAACUUGAUUCCCAUCUCCAAUUUUUUGGAGUUGAGCUCGAUUGGAGUGUGAUUUAGAUGCGUCCGCUGGAUGACCCCAGCUUCCUGUCAUUCCAAGUUUUAGGUUAAAGCCUUGAAUUUGGUUGAUAAGAUGCUGGGCUCG